GCGCCUUAGUGCAGUGGUAGAGGAUCUGCUUUGUGUGCAGAAGUCCGCGGGAUCAGUCCCCGGCAUCUCCG